rnacentral:rRNA from 1 species
UAGGGAAUCUUCGGCAAUGGACGAAAGUCUGACCGAGCAACGCCGCGUGAGUGAAGAAGGUUUUCGGAUCGUAAAACUCUGUUGUUAGAGAAGAACAAGGACGUUAGUAACUGAACGUCCCCUGACGGUAUCUAACCAGAAAGCCACGGCUAACUACGUGCCAGCAGCCGCGGUAAUACGUAGGGGGCAAGCGUUGUCCGGAUUUAUUGGGCGUAAAGGGAGCGCAGGCGGUUUCUUAAGUCUGAGGUGAAAGCCCCCGGCUCAACCGGGGAGGGUCAUUGGAAACUGGGAGACGUGAGUGCAGAAGAGGAGAGUGGAAUUCCAUGUGUAGCGGUGAAAUGCGUAGAUAUAUGGAGGAACACCAGUGGCGAAGGCGGCUCUCUGGUCUGUAACUGACGCUGAGGCUCGAAAGCGUGGGGAGCAAACAGG